rnacentral:rRNA from 1 species
GCAUAACGCGAAGAACCUUACCAAGGCUUGACAUACACCAGAACACCCUGGAAACAGGGGACUCUUUGGACACUGGUGAACAGGUGGUGCAUGGUUGUCGUCAGCUCGUGUCGUGAGAUGUUGGGUUAAGUCCCGCAACGAGCGCAACCCUCGUUCUAUGUUGCCAGCACGUAAUGGUGGGAACUCAUGGGAUACUGCCGGGGUCAACUCGGAGGAAGGUGGGGAUGACGUCAAAUCAUCAUGCCCCUUAUGUCUUGGGCUUCACGCAUGCUACAAUGGCCGGUACAAUGGGCUGCGAUACCGUAAGGUGGAGCGAAUCCCAAAAAGCCGGUCCCAGUUCGGAUUGAGGCCUGCAACUCGACCUCAUGAAGUCGGAGUCGCUAGUAAUCGCAGAUCAGCAACGCUGCGGUGAAUACGUUCCCGGGUCUUGUACACACCG